UAGAUAGUAGGCGGGGUAACGGGCCACGUAGUCUUCGGUGGAUAGGGGUUCUGAGAGGAAGGUCCCCCACAUUGGAACUGAGACACGGUCCAAACUCCUACGGGAGGCAGCAGUGAGGAAUAUUGGUCAAUGGGCGAGAGCCUGAACCAGCCAAGUAGCGUGAAGGAUGACUGCCCUAUGGGUUGUAAACUUCUUUUAUAAAGGAAUAAAGUCGGGUAUGGAUACCCGUUUGCAUGUACUUUAUGAAUAAGGAUCGGCUAACUCCGUGCCAGCAGCCGCGGUAAUACGGAGGAUCCGAGCGUUAUCCGGAUUUAUUGGGUUUAAAGGGAGCGUAGAUGGAUGUUUAAGUCAGUUGUGAAAGUUUGCGGCUCAACCGUAAAAUUGCAGUUGAUACUGGAUAUCUUGAGUGCAGUUGAGGCAGGCGGAAUUCGUGGUGUAGCGGUGAAAUGCUUAGAUAUCACGAAGAACUCCGAUUGCGAAGGCAGCCUGCUAAGCUGCAACUGACAUUGAGGCUCGAAAGUGUGGGUAUCAAACAGGAUUAGAUACCCUGGUAGUCCACACGGUAAACGAU
rnacentral:rRNA from 1 species